UGACCUGUUGCUGCCUCCCUGGGCGGGUGUCCCCAGGGCUGAGGACAGGGACGGGGAUGGCGCGUCCGGGACGGGGAUGGCGCGGCCAGGCCGGGGCGCCUGCGCAGACGGCCGGGGCCGGCGACAAGCUGGGGAAAGCGGGGAGUAUGCAUAAGCUUAAAUCAUCUCAGAAGGACGAGGUCCACCAGCUCAUGGCAUUCACUCAGGCUGGUGAGAGAACUGUCAUCCGGCGCUCAGCCCAAAGUGAGUGGAAACUGGACGCGCCACGGACAGCUUCUUCCAGAACCCGGCCUCGUUCCACAAGGACUCCAUGCGAACCUCCGUGGACAGGAAGACGCUGGAGCCGCUGUAUAACUGGUACAAAGGGUUGGGAUAAAAGCUUCAUCCAUACCGUAACGUGUUUCUGACUUGCUGGAUGAGUCGGAGAGGUUUACCUCCAUUUCUCAAUGUGACACUUUUCAUCAUUAAGAUGCGUUGAGUAUAGAUUUCCUAAGUGAUAAGGAUGCAGACUUAGCAGGACGGGACUAAUCGUCUAGGCGUAAAUGCCGAGGGCCCCGUAGACUUAGAAAUGGCUGUCGCAUAUUGGAAUUUGGUAUUCUCCGGAAGGCUUAAGUUUUUAGAUCUUUGGAACAUCCUUUUGUUGGAGCAUCGCAAAAGAUCAAUCCCAAGGAACUUGGAGCCUUCUGCUAGAUUUUGGAAAUAUGAUUGCAGAUGACGUGUCCAGCUAUGAUGAAGAAGGAGUGUGGCCUGUUCUUAUAGGUGAUUUCGUAGAAUAUGCACGGCCAGUGGUCACGGGUGGUUAAGGCAGCCCUCUCUAGGCAGAAAAUCGAGAUGGCUUAAGGUGAAAAGGGAGCUGUCCUGCAGGAGACACUGGCCAGCCAUGCCCGUUGCCCAUUUUGGAAGUCAUCCUGACCAGUCGUGAGACUGGAGACCCUCUCCUGCUGCUUAGAGAAGACGCCGCUGACUGUGGAUGCCGCACGGAGACCCUCUGAGCUCGCUGCUGGGGCGUCCAGAGACGGGGCCCUGGCUGUUGCUGUGAGAGACCUCUGCAUGAUUUCCGCGUUUACGGAGGAGCUGGGGCCUGUCUGCAGGCUGCAGGGUCGCUGUUGAUCAUGACCCAAAGCGAGGCUGUGCUCACCACACUCGCUGAAUUGUCCGUAACCACCCCUGAGAAACCACAAGUCAGGCUGCUGGAAACCUGCCCUAAAGAGGACGAGUGUCGUGGAUGCUGGCGGUUUUGAACUUGGUGCCAGGGUUAAGAUUUAUAUUUUUUGAAUCAUCAAGUGUCUAGAUUUAUCAGCUCUAUUUUCAUUUCACUUUUCUCUGGAUGCUCAUCUGGGAAUCAUUUUACAGGUUAACGCACCGUUGCAGUUUGCACAGCGAUGGUGUCAUCGUGAUUCCAGAAAAGUUCUUUUAAAUUGCCUGCAGGUCAGUGGGUCUGCUUUACUUCUGAUAACGGCAGCUGAGCUUCCUAAGAGCGUCAUAAAGUAGGCUUUAAAAAAUGUAGUUAAGGGCUUCCCUGCUGGCUGAGAGUCCGCCUGCCGAUACAGGGGACACGAGUUCGUGCCCCGGUCCGGGAA